AGUCUGCAUUUGACCUCCAAGAGCAGCAUCGCUUCAGCUGUUUAAAGCUCCUCACGUUGCUUUAAGCUAAGGGUGCAGUUCCACAGCACCAUGGGACAAUCUGAACUGGCAGUUGCAGCAGUUCCUCACCUGGACCCUUGCUGGUUCAGGCAGCUGGACAUAGGCAGAACACCUACACUCCACACAGCAGUGCCAUCAGUUUUGCAAGGCACUCAUUUUAACCUCCUCACACCACCGAGGGUUUGAUCAUCCUUCCACUAUUCAUCCUUAUCCUUCCGACCAGUUUUUUGAUCCAUCAGAUUGCUCUCAGUGCCUGUCUCCAAGCAUCCCAAAUUGCAGCAGAGCCGAAAUGACCUCAAGACCUCCACAAGCAUCUGUGAAAUCUGGCAGUUUGGAGACAACUAUGAACUACAGCACCAGCACGCAUGCAUCUAGACACAUGCAUCUGUACACUAGCAGACUUCUGGAAAGAACUCCUAUCAAAUGUGUACUCUGUUCAUGUUUGGAAAGAUUUCAUUGAAAGCAAAAAAUAUUGAGAAGUUA